rnacentral:rRNA from 1 species
AACGAACGCUGGCGGCAUGCUUAACACAUGCAAGUUGAACGAACUAACUUGGGGCUUGCUCUAAGUUAGAGAGUGGCAAACGGGUGAGUAACACGUGGGAAUCUACCCAUCAGUACGGAAUAACUUUUGGAAACAGAUGCUAAUACCGUAUAUUCUUGAGAAAGGAAAGAUUUAUCGCUGAUGGAUGAGCCCGCGUCAGAUUAGGUAGUUGGUGGGGUAAUAGCCUACCAAGCCGACGAUCUGUAGCUGGUCUGAGAGGAUGAUCAGCCACACUGGGACUGAGACACGGCCCAGACUCCUACGGGAGGCAGCAGUGGGGAAUAUUGGACAAUGGGCGCAAGCCUGAUCCAGCCAUGCCGCGUGCGGGAAGAAGGCCUUCGGGUUGUAAACCGCUUUUGUCAGGGAAGAAAAGACUCCUGUUAAUACCGGGGGUUCAUGACGGUACCUGAAGAAUAAGCACCGGCUAACUACGUGCCAGCCGCCGCAGUAA